AUACGUAGGGGGCGAGCGUUGUCCGGAAUUAUUGGGCGUAAAGGGUUCGCAGGCGGUCUGAUAAGUCAGAUGUGAAAGGCAAUGGCUCAACCAUUGUAAGCAUUUGAAACUGUCAGACUUGAGUUAAGGAGAGGAAAGUGGAAUUCCUAGUGUAGCGGUGAAAUGCGUAGAUAUUAGGAGGAACACCAGUGGCGAAGGCGGCUUACUGGGCUUUAACUGACGCUGAGGCACGAAAGCGUGGGGAGCAAACGGGAUUAGAUACCCUGGUAGUCCACGCUGUAAACGAUGAUUGCUAGGUGUGGGGGGUCUGAUCCCCUCCGUGCCGGAGUUAACACAAUAAGCAUUCCGCCUGGGGAGUACGGCCGCAAGGUUGAAACUCAAAUGAAUUGGCGGGG
rnacentral:rRNA from 1 species